GAUGAACGCUAGCGAUAGGCUUAACACAUGCAAGUCGAGGGGCAGCAUGGUCUUAGCUUGCUAAGACUGAUGGCGACCGGCGCACGGGUGCGUAACGCGUAUGCAACUUGCCUCACAGAGGGGGAUAACCCGUCGAAAGACGGACUAAUACCGCGUACACUCCAUCUUGGGCAUCCAAGGUAGAGGAAAUGAAAUUCGCUGUGAGAUAGGCAUGCGUCCCAUUAGCUAGUUGGGGAGGUAACGGCUCACCAAGGCGACGAUGGGUAGGGGAACUGAGAGGGUGAACCCCGAAACGGGGACUGGGGCAAGGACCAGACUACUACGGGAGGGAGCAGUGAGGGACAGUGGGCAAUGGGCGAGAGCCUGAACCAGCCAAGUCGCGUGAAGGAUGACCGUCUUAUGGAUGGUAAACUUCUUUUAUACGGGAAUAACAAGAGUCACGGGUGACUCCCUGCAUGUACCGGAUGAAUAAGCACCGGCUAACUCCGUG
rnacentral:rRNA from 1 species